rnacentral:rRNA from 1 species
GGGGAAUUGUUCGCAAUGGGCGCAAGCCUGACGACGCAACGCCGCGUGGAGGACGAAGAUCUUCGGGUCGUAAACUCCUGUCGAGCGGGAAGAAACCCGCGGGGAUGAACAAUCCCCGCGGCUGACGGUACCGCUAAAGGAAGCCCCGGCUAACUCCGUGCCAGCAGCCGCGGUAAUACGGGGGGGGCAAGCGUUGUUCGGAAUUACUGGGCGUAAAGGGCUCGUAGGCGGCCAACUAAGUCGGAUGUGAAAUCCCCAGGCUCAACCUGGGAACUGCAUCCGAUACGGGAUGGCUUGAAUCCGGGAGAGGGAUGCAGAAUUCCAGGUGUAGCGGUGAAAUGCGUAGAUAUCUGGAGGAAUACCGGUGGCGAAGGCGGCAUCCUGGACCGGCAUUGACGCUGAGGAGCGAUAGCCAGGGGAGCAAACG